rnacentral:tRNA from 1 species
GGCUCGUUGGUCUAGGGGUAUGAUUCUCGCUUUGAGUGCGAGAGGUCCCGGGUUCAAAUCCUGGACGAGCCC